rnacentral:lncRNA from 1 species
AUCAUAUAUAAAUUCUCUCCAGGAUAGGUACAGGGCCAGUUCCAGGUUAAGUAUCUUGAGAAAUUAGUAUUCUGACACUUUGACAGCCAUGAGUUCAGGCUGGGAGAGGAAAAGACAAGACAGGACAGACAGCUGUCAGGACAUCAGUGAAUGUGGGCUUACUGCCUCUGAAGAGGACAGACACCCUUAUUUCCCAUCACUAGCCCAUAGCUAACAAAAACCUGCCCCUUCUCAGACCAGUGUGAGUCAAUGGGGAUUUUGAGGUUUGGCUGCUAGCACAGCGUGUAGCCAGCACUCAGGUUGUUUUGCUGUCCUCUGGAAAUGCAUCACUUUCCGAAAUUCCAUCCCCUGACCAAGCCUGGUCUCAGCCUUGGUGCUGUGUACUCUGUCUCCACACAUGUCUUUUUUUAGUAACAUUUAACUUAAACUGUUUGAUUUGUUAAAGUGAAAUCAGAUCUAUCUUGUUACAGACCAUAGAAAUUAGAAGGGGCCUAGAUGAAAAUCCAGUCUAGAUCUGCAGAAAGAAGCCAUUCUGCACUGCUAUAAAAGUGACAAAUUUCUUUCAUUUGUAAGACUUCAAUGCCCUCAUAUGUGCAUCUUUACCUGUCUAUGUGUAUAUUUUAUUGUUAAUUUGAGUGCUCCAAAAUCUCUUCCAAAUCAUUCUCAGAAACACAGGAGUUUGAAGUGGUUUUCUGCUUUUUUCCUCCAUACUUGGACACAAGACAAUGGUGAAAUGACCUCAGAAAGCUUUAUGGAAGGGAUUAUGAGAUGUUGUCAUAGCAAAUUACCAGCUCCUGAUCAACACUGGUGUUGGCGCCUCACAAAAGCAAGAAACUCACGAGACAGGAAAAGCCUCUCCAGCAGAAGGGAGAAAGGAGACUCCCCUGCCAGAGCACUUUCCAUAGUGCAGAGAGGAUCCCCAGAGGCUGGGCUGGCUCUGUCUGUUGUCCUCUGUGAGGGUGCCACAUGGGGACACCCCAACCUCCUCUCCAUGUGCCCAGGGUGCUGGGAUUCCCUCAUGUCCUCAGGCUGGGACCUGCAGCCUCUCUCUACAGAACUGUGUCAGAAAGCUGUGGUUUUGACAGCUGGACUGACAACUGUCCUUUGGGAAGGGACUCCAAUGAGCAUGUCAAAGUUGUCAUGCAAAGGGUGACAACUGUCAGAUAACCAUUGUCACUGAUUUCUGUAGUUAUGUUUUUUACAGUUUACAUAAUAUUUUGACUGUGAAAUAUCAUCUAAUUGCAUACUUCCUAGUGGGAAAAAUUGUUAUUUUUUCUCAUUUUUAUUCCGCGUGCUAGAAUGUUUUUCCCAUAGUCUUUUCUUACACCUCCAAGCCUUGCUGUAGUAAUUUAAUAAUUGAUUAACAAGCACUGAAAACAGUAGAACAAUUUAUUCCAACUGUGACAUCCACAUUAGGGGGCUUACUUUGGGGGCAGAUUUUGCUUUCCCAUUUAGAGUUGUAAACUCAGUUUUUCGGUUGCAAAAUAGACCUUUUAGAGCAGCCCCCAUACUGUCUAGCAAACUUCUGAAAUAAAGCUGCAAGUCUUUUAAAAAUCUGUUUUGUC